rnacentral:rRNA from 1 species
AACGAACGCUGGCGGCGUGCCUAACACAUGCAAGUCGAGCGCGAAUGGAGCAAUCCUAGUAGAGCGGCGCACGGGUGCGUAACACGUGGGUAAUCUGCCUAGAAGAUGAGGAUAACCAGUCGAAAGACUGGCUAAUACUCGAUAAGCCCACGGGGACUUCGGUCCCUGAGGGAAAAGGUGGCCUCUGUAUACAAGCUAUCACUUCUAGAUGAGCCCGCGGCCCAUCAGCUAGUUGGCGGGUAAUGGCCACCAAGGCGACGACGGGUAGCUGGUCUGAGAGGACGAUCAGCCACACUGGAACUGAGACACGGUCCAGACUCCUACGGGAGGCAGCAGUGGGGAAUUUUGCGCAAUGGGCGAAAGCCUGACGCAGCAACGCCGCGUGUGUGAUGAAGGUCUUCGGAUUGUAAAGCACUUUCGACCGGGACGAAAA